UAUUGGCUCCCUAUAUAUCUUUUGGCAUAUUUUAGAAAUUUUCAAGCUUUGGAUAAAAGGUCAUAAGUAAUUGAUGGAUUGAAGGAGAAAUUCGCUGAGGCGACGAGGCAAAACGAUGUUAAAGCUAUUGUUCUUACGGCAAGGGAGGAAGGUUUUCCGGUGGUUUUGAUAUCAAUGUUUUCACGAAAGUUCAUGGAACUGGUAU